UAAACACAAUUCCUAGGUGUGAAACGGUU
rnacentral:piRNA from 1 species